rnacentral:rRNA from 1 species
CCUACGGGAGGCAGCAGUGAGGAAUAUUGGUCAAUGGCCGGAAGGCUGAACCAGCCAUGCCGCGUGAAGGUCAGUGCCCCAUUGGCGUUAAACUUCUUUUGUGCGGGAGCAAUAAUGGUCACGUGUGGCCAGACGAGAGUACCGCACGAAUAAGCAACGGCUAACUCCGUGCCAGCAGCCGCGGGAAUACGGGGGAUGCAAGCGUUAUCCGGAUUUAGUGGGUUUAAAGGGUGCGUAGGCUGUGAGGUAAGUCAGCGGUGAAAUGCCCCCGCUCAACGGGGUGAAGUGCCAUUGAUACUGCCUGGCUGGAAUGCGGAUGCCGUAGGAGGAAUGUGUGGUGUAGCGGUGAAAUGCAUAGAUAUCACACAGAACACCGAUUGCGAAGGCAUCUCACGAAGCCGCGAUUGACGCUGAUGCACGAAAGCGUGGGUAUCAAACAGGAUUAGAUACCCGAGUAGUC